rnacentral:misc_RNA from 1 species
GAUGAAGAACGUAGCGAACUGCGAUAAGUAAUGUGAAUUGCAGAAUUCAGUGAAUCAUCGAGUCUUUGAACGCACAUUGCGCCCCCUGGCAUUCCGGGGGGCAUGCCUGUCCGAGCGUCAUUGCUGCCCUUCAAGCCCGGCUUGUGUGUUGGGUCGUCGUCCCCCCCGGGGGACGGGCCCGAAAGGCAGCGGCGGCACCGCGUCCGGUCCUCGAGCGUAUGGGGCUUUGUCACUCACUUUACGGCCCGGACCGGCGCCAGUCCGAAUCAAUCUUUUUUCUAAAGUUGACCUCGGAUCAGGUAGGGAUACCCGCUGAACUUAAGCAUAUCAAUAAGCGGAGGA